AGUGAACGCUGGCGGUAGGCCUAACACAUGCAAGUCGAACGGCAGCACAGUAAGAGCUUGCUCUUACGGGUGGCGAGUGGCGGACGGGUGAGGAAUACAUCGGAAUCUACUUUUUCGUGGGGGAUAACGUAGGGAAACUUACGCUAAUACCGCAUACGACCUACGGGUGAAAGCAGGGGAUCUUCGGACCUUGCGCGAUUGAAUGAGCCAAUGUCGGAUUAGCUAGUUGGCGGGGUAAAGGCCCGCCAAGGCGACGAUCCGUAGCUGGUCUGAGAGGAUGAUCAGCCACACUGGAACUGAGACACGGUCCAGACUCCUACGGGAGGCAGCAGUGGGGAAUAUUGGACAAUGGGCGCAAGCCUGAUCCAGCCAUACCGCGUGGGUGAAGAAGGCCUUCGGGUUGUAAAGCCCUUUUGUUGGGAAAGAAAAGCAGCAGGUUAAUACCCCGCUGUUCCGACGGUACCCAAAGAAUAAGCACCGGCUAACUUCGUG
rnacentral:rRNA from 1 species